UUUAUGGAAUAAGUCGUAACAUAGUAAAAAUAUUGGAAAAUGUUUUUAGAAU
rnacentral:rRNA from 3 species